rnacentral:rRNA from 1 species
AUUGAACGCUGGCGGCAGGCCUAACACAUGCAAGUCGAGUGAGCGGCGGACGGGUGAGUAAUGUCUGGGAAACUGCCUGAUGGAGGGGGAUAACUACUGGAAACGGUAGCUAAUACCGCAUACCAUCAGAUGUGCCCAGAUGGGAUUAGCUAGUAGGUGGGGGAACGGCUCACCUAGGCGACGCUCCCUAGCUGGUCUGUGAGGAUGACCAGCCACACGGGAACUGAGACACGGUCCAGACUCCAACGGGAGGCAGCAGUGGGGAAUAUUGUACAAUGGGCGCAAGCCUGAUGCAGCCAUGCCGCGUGUGUGAAGAAGGCCGUCGGGUUGUAAAGCACUUUCAGCGGGGAGGCGUUACCCGCAGAAGAAGCACCGGCUAACUCCGUGCCAGCAGCCGCGGUAAUAC